rnacentral:rRNA from 1 species
GACGAGGGGCCCGAGCGUUAAUCGGAAUCACUGGGCUUAAAGGGUGCGUAGGCGGACAUGUAGGUGUUUUGUGAAAUCCCUCUGCUCAACGGAGGAAUUGCAGGGCAAACCACAUGUCUUGAGGCAGGUAGAGGCCGUCGGAACGAUAGGUGGAGCGGUGAAAUGCGUAGAUAUCUAUCGGAACGCCGAAGGUGAAGACAGACGGCUGGGCCUGUCCUGACGCUGAGGCACGAAAGCGUGGGGAGCAAACGGG